rnacentral:rRNA from 1 species
AUGCCAAAGAGGAAAGGAGGAUUGUGGUUCAGAGACCUACACAAUUUUAAUCUUGCUUUACUAGCAAAACAGUGUUGGCGACUACUCCAGAAUCCAGAAUCGUUGUGUGCUCAAGUUCUUAGUGCUAAAUAUUAUCCUGAUGGGAAUAUAUUGAAUGCAGGGCCGAAGAAGGGUUCAUCUUUCACUUGGCAGAGUAUUGUUGCGGGUAUCCAAAUGUUUAAAAGAGGAUGCAUUUGGAGAGUUGGUACGGGAACACAUAUCAAUAUUUGGCAAGACCCGUGGAUACCUUCGAGUGAGUCCAGGAAAAUUAUAACACCGCGGGGUGCCACAAUGUUGACAAAAGUGGAAGAACUAAUUGACCCACAUACCGGACAGUGGGAUGAGGUACUGAUCCGUGAUGUUUUUUGGCCGGUGGAUGUGUACAGAAUACUAGAAAUUCCACUCAGAGUGCAUGUUAUGGAGGACUUUGUAUCAUGGCACUAUAAUCAGACUGGAAGCUUUACUGUAAGAUCG